GCUCAGUGAAGGAGGACCGACAGCUAACGACCAAAGGCAAGACGGUCCAAAGAGGCCGUGGGCCGUGGGCCGUGGGAGUGUGCCUUGAGCAUCAAGGCCCCUGGAGGCCCCUGGGGCAUUACUUCCUUCAGCUCACACGGCCCUGCGGGAGGUGCCCCAGCUCUUUGGAGGAGUGACCUGGAUUCAGCAGGUGGAGUCUCAUCCUGCAGCCACUUCUCAAGAGGCUGACAAAUGCGGUGCUUGUUGAAGGUCAUCGGCUCAGUCUCCAUCUCACCGACGUCCCAGGAGACACACGGAGGAUCCCUGUCAUACCUGUUAAGGAGGAUUUCACCACAUGUGCUUGCUGUGGGCCCUACAAAUGGGAAAUUUCAGUGCCUCUGCCACUGUCCUAGGGUGGAGGUGAGCUGCCCUCCCCUCCUCAGCUUUCCUGUUCAGUCAUUGCUGAAGACCUGGGUUUGGAGAAGACAGGGUCAAGCUCAUCUUUGGGUUCCUACUCAGCAGUGAGAAUGGAGGCCUUGCAUUCCUGUCCAUCAGUCACAGUUGUGGCAUCUUCUGUUUGGAUGUCCCCACGCUCCUAGCAUCUCAGUCCUUUCCUCGGCCUGCCUCCUGGAGAUUGGAAUCACUUAUACCUAUGUGUGUGGAUUAUCUGCCCUUUUUCAUACAGACCUCUCCUCCAGUCACCCCCCACCUCAGUCUUCACCAGCCACUCUGUCGUUCCUUCUGCAACAAGCACACUUGCAGAGUCAGCCUCCCAGCUUCCUUGGAAUUUGGUGUCACUGACAUGGACACCACUUCCGUUUUUCAAACUUCCCUCUUGAGGUCUCCCCCUGGGCUCCAAGAAGGAGAACUUUUUAUUUUCCAUGUCUCUUUCUCAUUCUGAGAAUAUGUCCCCCAAAGGCAGCAUUGCCUCAGGCUCAGUUCUGCCAGGUUGCCCACACAGCAGCUCAAAUGUGACUUUCAAAUUCCCUGACUCUGGAACCACCCCUCAGCCCACGUUUGGGGUCUCUGAUGGGCUGCAUUGUGGAGCUGCCUAGUGGCAGCCCUUUUCCCUUUGGAAACUAGGCAGCCCCAGGACAAGCCACAGCCCAGCCACCCACAGCAGCACAACCAAGCUAGUGGAUUUGAUAGCCCCAUAUGCUACCUUUGGUUUUCCUGUCAGCACCCAGUCAGCUUUUGGUGACACUUCAGGCAUUUUCCCAUUGGUACAACUACUACUACUGGCUUUAGAGCUGCCACCAGAAUCCCCAACACUGGGGACAGUAGCUCACCAUUUACCAAUACCACUGCAGACCAACUUGUGUUUAUGGGAUCUGCAACCCUAAUGGGUGGCAUCAGCUUUGAGGUGACGUUAGCUGCCUAAGCCCCACCUCCAUUCUGGAGCACUCAGCUUUGGUGCAGGAUGAAGCAGUCACCACCUCCUCAAGUUAAGGACUGUCAGUUGCGAACUUCGGGGUCCUGGUGUCCUAUAGCACCCUGGUUACAAAUGGAGAGUCUACCUCUACAGAGAGCACAUCUGUCCUGGGAGCCCCUUUCCUUCCUGUCUAUAGUCAGAGCACGUGGGGCUAGCUGGGCAGAGUCACGUAUGUGACUAUUGGAGGAGUCUGCACCACUGAGAAGAAAUGAGUACCAGGUGACAGUUUUGUGUUUCCUGGUGGUCAGGUGGUAUUUCUCCUAUGUCAGGUGGUAUUUCUCUUCCCACCUUCUGUCAGACUUCCCAGGGUCGCCCUGGCCACAGCAUGUGGGCUGCAGUGGGAGGGAUUAGCACCAAUCUCAUGCCCAGAGAUAGGUCUCUCCAUGCUUAUAAUCAGAGCAUCCAAGGCACACAUGGCCAGAUUCCAUCUUUAGAAGCUGCAGCAGCCAGGAUCAUUCCUGUGCUUGUAGGCCCUCAUGUUUCCACCUACAGUCUGAGCACCAGAAGCCCAUGUGGUACAGUGGAAGGGGACAUCACCAGACUUGUGCUUGGUGACCUUCCCUCCAUCAUUCUGAGCUCCUGGGAUGCUCACAGUCAAAGCACUUCUGUUAUAGCCAGAGGGAUAAUGCCACUCAUUCUUAAGGGGGCAUUACUACUUUUGCUUGUAGUCAGAAUGCCUUGGUCAUCCAGCCAUGGCACCCCUUGACUUUUAGGGGGCAGCAGUACUGGGAAAAUACCUAUGCUUAAGAGGCACUUUUGCCCCUACCUUUGGUUAGAGUAUUUCAAACUCUGGUGUGGUCAGCAAGCUUCCGCCCUCUGUUCAGGGCACUAUCCAGGGCUUGUGGAGACAGACGUGAAGGAGCACUGAUCUCCAUACUCUCGCAGUCCAAGAGCCGCAGAUCUUAGCAAUUAAGAAGUAGAAGCUUCCACAAAUGGAGCUCACUCUGCUGGGAAGAGGCUCAGUCCUUUAUAGUUAUGUCAAACAAACCUAACCUUUUUCCUACCACAGGCUGGAGGUCUCACACCUUGAGGUACACAUGUGUCAGAGAGUGUGGGGCAGAUGAGGCUAGUCAGAAGCCAAGACUUGAGAAGUUACAUUGUGGAGAGUUAGAAGAGAGUUCUUUCUAUACCAACAGCUGACGUUUCCCGACUUUGAUCGUCACCCUGGCCAAACCUAGCUGUGGGUCAAUUUUCCCCUCAUUUUGGAGCUAGUGGAUGCCCCCUGCUGCUUAUUGCAGCCCAUUUGUCCUUACUCGUUUCCAGUGGGCCCAAACUUUCUGUCCCAAUUACAUGUAUGAAAACUUGUUCUUGUGAAUUCA